UCUGGAAUGAUAGCCAGCGUUCUCCUAGGCAGCAGUAGAGUGUGAGCUAGGAAGCUGGAUGUGAUUUAAGACAGGAGUCAUUCAUCAUUCAAAAAUCUGUGAGAGCAAUAAGGAAGAGAGAAACAGAAUGCUUUUGGAAUAAUAAAGAAGAAAUCCUGGCCAUAAAUUCAAGGAAAACCCAAACCUCACUGGAGCAUGACAUUUUAAGAAAUGACCUGUGGGCUACCGCCACAGAAAUUGCCUACUUGGAAAGAUACUUCACCAGUGGAAAAAACAACUUAAUACAAAAUGCCCUCCUGCUGGUGAGUCACGGGCAGAAUUUUUGUUUGAGGACAACACAUUAAUCAUUUAUUCCUGGAGGCUGAGUUUUUUUUGUUUUUUUUUUACUUCCCUUUUAUUUGUUAUUCACUUAGACUUAAACUUGUCCAAAUACUGGAUUUGAUCAGAAAAAGGGGAGAGGAGGAGUCUUAGAACAAGGAAAUAUAUGCUGUAACCUUCAGGCAUUGUGAAAUAUGGCAGGUUUAACUCUCAUACGAGGCAAGGCAAUCAGUAUUUUGUAAGUAUCCUGGGAACUGCUGCUGAGAACUAGUAAAUUGACCCACAGCUAAAAAGUGCCCUUGACUCACAAUCAGCAAAGUCUCCAUUCUGAUCCACUAAAGGAGAGGAAGGAGGACUAAGUCACAUCCUCAGGAACAGCUGAGAGGAAGAGUUGGGGGAAAACUACUAACUAUACAAAGGCAAGGGGCAGCCAGAUAGCACAAUGGAGAGAGUGCUAACCUUGGAGUCAGGAAGACCUGGAUUCAAAUCUAGCCUCAGGCACUUGCUAGAUAUAUGAUCCUGGGCAAGGCAUUUAACCCCACUUGCCUAACCCUUGCUGCUCUACUGACUUAGAAUUGAUACCAAGAUAGAAGGUAAGGGUAUUUUCAAAAAUAUACAAUCAAUCAAUAAAAUCAAUGUGCCAGGCAACUCUCUAAGACUAUAGAUGUACACAAUGUACACAAAAAUAAGACAAUGUACACAAAUUAUAAACCAGAACCCCUUUUCUUCCCCCAAAUAAAAAUAAAACAGAAGAAUGAUUCAAAAAUUGCAUUUGCAGAACGACCAGUUGUUCUAAUAUUUUAAAUAUUUUGCAGAUCUUAUUUCUUUCUGGAAGGGAACAGCAUCUAUGUCUAGUUUCAUUCAAAGUGCUUCAGUAUAAGCCUUACAACAUAUAAAUGUAGUAGAGCAAUUAAGAGACUUGUUCAAAUUUAUAUACAUAGAAAGGAGCAGAUACUAUUCAGCCUCAUUCAUUAGUACAGAUUACUGUAGUAGGCAUUGAGAAGACCCCACAUUAAGUAAUAUGUGGCCUCUGCCCUCCCCUUAUCAACAAGAGCUCAUUUUUCAAACCCUUUAAUACUUAUGGAGUACUUUGCUCACAAUUCUGUGAGGGAGCUAAUUCAACUUUUCUUAUUUCCUAAUGAAGAGAUUCAAAUUUUUCCUGGCUCUAGAGCCAUUACUCUUCCCAUUAGAUCACUACACACUUGUCUUGGUAUAAACACAAGCAACUAUAAUGCAAAGUAUCGCCCAAGUAGAUUAGAAAUGUGCUUUAAGGGUUACCAAGUGCUUUACACAGGUUUUCUCAUAUGAUCCUCACAACAGCCCAUGAAGCUGGCCCAUUGCUAUCCUUAUUUUCCAUAUGAGGAAACUGAGAUUGAAAGAAAUUAGUGAUCUGUCCAGUUUUGAAGAUUUCCAGAGAGGAGGAACCCACUCCUUCUUGAAGCAUUUUAUUUCACUUUUAGACAGGUCUGAUUAUUAGAAAUGUUCCCUUUCCAUCAAGUUAAAUUUUUCUCUUUACAACUUCCAUCCAGUGCUACUGAUUCGGUACUCUGGAACCAAAUGGAACAAGUUUAAUUCCCCUUCCACAUGGCAGUCCUUCAAAUAUUUGGAAAGAACUAUCAUGUCACCUCUAAGUCUUCAUUUCUCUAAGCCAAACAUUUCCAGUUCCCUCAAACAAUGAACUCAAAGCCUUUCACCAUUCUGUUUGUCCUUUGGAUGUGCUCCAGAUUCUCAGCACCCAAACUCCAAUGUGGUAUUCAGAAGUGAACACAGUACUCCAGCUGUUGGCUGACCAGGGCAGAAGACAAUGGAAUUAUCACUUCAAAUGUUGGAGGUUCUGUGGGAAAAUAGGCACGUUAAACCACCGAGGGAGCUGUCAAUUGAUCCUGCCCUUUAGGAAAGCAUUUCGAAACCAUACUCCAAAAGCCACUGAACUUUGCCUGCACUAAUCCUAGACACUUUGUUUUUAAAGUGCAGUCCAGCUAUGUGACUCGGGAUAGGGAGCCAGGCUUGGAGAUGGGAGGCCCUGGAUUCAAAUCUGACCUCAGACACUUCCUACUUGUAUAACUGGGCAAAGCACUUAACUUCAACUGUCUUGCCUUUACCACUCCCUCUACCUUGGAAAUGGUAGAAAGUAAGGUUGGGGUGGGGGGUAAAGUGAGGUCAGCCCACAAAAAUUAAGCAGGAUUGUGCCAGGUGAGUGAGUAUGUGGAUAAAGGAAAAUUCUAAAAUUAAAAAACUGUGAUACUAGACUACUCUUGCUAGUCUAGCCUUGAGAACAGGAAACCCUACUUACAGAAUGCCUCACUUUGUACUAUACUUUUUGGAGGUAUUCCAAAAUAUUUGCUGAAGAAAUUAAUGAGUGAGUAAAUCAGGGUCUACCUACUAAUCUAACUACCCCAUCCUCCUUUUAAACUUUUUUCUCCAGAACAAACUUCACAAGGAGUGUUUGAUUUUAUGCACGUUGAAGAGUGACUUUAUGGCAAGAUCUCUUUAAAUGCCCUCUAGUAAAAAAAUACUGGCAAAAGAUAAUCAGAAGAGGCAUAAAAAGAUGGAUGUGAGAAGUAAAAGAGAGAACUUCAAAAAUAGGUAACUUCAAAACUAACUCACAUUUAUAGAGCAGUUUGAGCUUUGUUGAAUUCAAGGCAUAAUAUCCUUUUGAGUUAGAUUGAAGUAGAUUAUUACAUUUUACAGAUGUGGAACCUAAGGCUCAAGUUAGACUUUUGCUGAAAGUCAUAAAGAAGAAAUUGUUAAAGAUAGGAUAAUUUCCAAAGUAUCUGAAGGAAAGGAAGAUUCUAAAAGAAGGAUUUGACCUCCAUACUCUCAAAAAAGGCAACUAAGAAGGCAUCAAUUUAUUGAAUCAUAUGCCUGAUUUUAUACUUGAAUAAGAUUUUGAUGAGGUCCAUCUAUGCAUGCAUCAUGAUUAUCUUUAGCAAACUAUGAGAUUAGAAUAGGCCAGCUUUUGAAGAUGAUUUUCGACAGAAGGUUCAAAUCUUCAUAGCUACACACUAUGAGUUGUAGACUAUAGUAUUCUUUAGUAAGUGUAUUUUUUAAAAGCAUUUUGCUCACUAAAACAAAUGUCACUUUAUUUUUUAAAAUUUAUUUAUUUUAAAACUUUCUUUAUUUUAUUCCAAAAACAAAUUUUCAUAUUUUCCAUGGUUACAAGAUUCAUGUUGCCUCAUUCCCCCCACCUCCUCCCUCCCAGAGUUGACAAGCAAUUCAAUCUGGGUUAUACGUGUAUUAUCACUCAAAACCUAUUUCCAUAUUAUUCAAUUUUGUAAUAGAGUAAUCUUUUAAAACCAAAACCCCAAACCAUAUAUCCAUAUAAACAAGUGAUAAAUCAAUUAUAUGUUUUCUUCUGCAUUUCUACAUCGACAGUUCUUACUCUAGAUGUGGAGAGCAACAAAUGCCACUUUAAAAGUUUUCCCAUGUUAAAACAAUACAAAAUUCUGUGACAUAUGACUAAGGACUUAACUGUUCAAUGACCAAGUAUUAGCAAAAAAGAGUUCAUAAAACAGGUAGAUGCCCCCACUAAAAGUACUGAGAGAAUUUAUUUUUAAUAUAUAAUCUUUUCUAUUUCUGAAGCUCUGAAAUGAUGCUCAGAUUUGUUGCUCAUUCUUUUGUACCUAGGGAAUUCAGAGAAAUGUCUGAUGAAUUACAGCCCAAGCAUCAAAGACCAUCCUUCAAUUUCUACCCCAGCUCCCCCACAUUCUUGAGAUAACUUUCUCACGAUUCAUUCACACAAAUUUUAUUUUUUUUAAUUUUAUUUAAUUUUAUUUUCAGUUCUAAAUUCUCUUCCAACUACCUCUCCCUCCUUUCCUUACUGAAGGAAAACAAGAAAAAAUUGAAAAACAAGAAAAAUAAGACCCAUUACAAAUAUGUAUAGUUAGGCAAAAUAAUUAGGUUUUGGUGGUGGGUUUUUUUUUUUUAAACCCUUACCUUCCAUCUUGGAGUCAAUACUGUGUAUUGGCUCCAAGGCAGAAGAGUGGUAAGGGCUAGGCAAUGGGGGUCAAGUGACUUGCCCAGGGUCACACAGCUGGGAAGUGUCUGAGGCAAGAUUUGAACCUAGGACCUCCUGUCUCUAGGCAUGGCUCUCAAUUCACUGAACUACCCAGCUGCCCCCGGUUUUUGUUGUUUUUUUUUUAAUGUUGCUCUUCAGUAAAACUGCUGUCCCAAACUUAAAUUUCCUCUUCUUAUCAUUAGCACUUAGGAGGUUGUGAGGGGACGGGUGGAACUUAUAAUGUAGGGUGCCCCUGCUCCAGGUUUAAGAAUAUAGACUUAUUGUUUGGGCAUAGGUAACUGUUAAUCAAAGGUUCCUCACUCUUUGGGAAGAUAAGCUCUAAAUCAUAUUUUCCCCUUUAGUUGCUUCAGCUGAGUGUUGACUGUCUAUGUGAGCCUACCUUUUUGGUAGUCUAUUCUAUGCUGAAAGUCUACUAAAGGAAAAAAGCAAGUCAAUUACAGGACUCCAGAUUUCUUUGACAGAAUAGCUUUUUCUAAACUAAUGAUUAGUCAUUAAUAGAUAUGUCCUUCCUGCCCUCCUCCAAAUGUGCCUCAAUCUAGACUUUGAAGCCAUAGUUUAUCUGGAGACAGGUAGCAGGUUAAUCAUGAUUCCUUUGGAAUUGUUUUUUUUUCUUCCAAAUUUUAUUUAAUUAGAGGGUUUAGAAUAAUUUUCCAUGGUUACAAGACUCUUGUUCCUUCCCUACUCUCCCCCCAAACCCCUCCUGUAUCUGACGUGUAAUUCCACUGGGUUUAACGUGUGCCAUCUAUCAAGACCCAUUUCCUUAUUAUUAAUAUUUGCACUAAGGUGAUCUUUUAGACUCCACUUUCCCAGUCAUGGCCCCACCAAUCCAUGUGAUCAAGCAGUUGUUUUUCUUCUGUUUUUACUCCCACAGUGUUUCCUCUGAAUGUGGAUAGUGUUUUCUCAUAUAUCCCUCCAGAUUGUUCAGGAUCACUGCAUUGCCACUAAUGGAGAAGUCCAUUACAUUAGAUUGUACCACAGUGUAUCAGUCUCUGUGUACAAUGUUUUCUUGGUCUGUUCCUCUCACUCUGCAUUAAUUCCUGGAGGUUAUUCCAGUUCACAUGGAAUUCCUCCACUUUAUUAUUCCUUUGAGCACAAUAGUAUUCCAUCACUAACAUAUACCACAAUUUGUUCAGCCAUUCUCCAAUUGAAGGGCAUCCCCUCAUUUUCCAAUUUUUGCCACCACAAAGAACACGGCUAUGAAUAUUCUUGUACAUGUCUCUUUCCUUAUUAUCUCUUUGGGGUACAAACUCAGCAGUGCUAUGGCUGGAUCAAAGGGCAGACAGUCUUUUAGUGCCCUUUGGGCAUAGAUCCAAAUUGCUGAUUCCUCUGGAAUUGUUAUUGGCCAUUAUAUUGAACACAGUUCCAAAGUUACUCAAAAUUGUUUGUCUUUAUAAUGCUGUUAUUAUAUAAAUUGUUUUGGGGGCAACUGGGUGGCUCAGUGGAUUGAGAGCCAGACCUAUAGAUGGGAGAUUAUGGGUUCAAAUCUGGCCCCAGACACUUCCUAGCUGUGUGACCCUGGGCAAGUCAGUUGACCCCCGUUGCCUAGCCCUUACCACUCUUCUGCCUUGGAACCAAUACACGGUAUUGAUUCCAAGAUGGAAGCUCGGAGUUUAAUAAAUAAAUAAAUAAAUAGUUUCCCUGAUUCUGAUCACUUUAUUUUGCAUCAUUUCAUACAGAUCUUGCCAGGUUUCUCUAAAUCCAUCUCCUUCUUCAUUUCUUACAGCAUAAUAGCAUUCCAUCACAUCCAUAUAACAUAACUUGUGCAGCCAUUCUUCAAUUGAUUGCCCCCCCUUCAAUGUCUAAUUCUUUGCCACCAUGAAAAGGGCUGCUAUAAAUAUAUUUGAACACUUGGGUCCUUUUAUUUUGAUCUCUUUGGGAAAUAUGCCUGUUAUCAGUAUCACUGGGUCAAAGAGUAUGCAUCCUUUAAUAAUUUGGAGCCAUCAUUCCAAAUUGCUUUCCAGAAUGGAUAGGAUAGUAAAUACCUCCAACAAGUAACUUUUUCCAUCAGCCUUUCAGCAUUUAUUAUUUUCCUUUUUUUGUUAAGUUUGCCAAUCUGAUGAAUGUGAGAUGAUACCUUGGAGUUGUUUUAAUUUGCAUUUUUAAAUUAUUAGUGAUUUAGAGCAUUUUUAAAAUGUGUCUAAUGAUAGUUUGGAUUUAUUCCUCUGAAAACUUUCUAAUCAUAUCUUUUGACGAUUUAUGAAUCAGAGAAUGACUCUUUCUUAUACAUUUGAUUCUACUUCCUAUAUACUUUAGAAAUAAGACUUUUUUUCAGAGAAACUUGCUGCAAAGAUUUUCUCCUCAACUCCCUGUUUCUUUUCUAUUUUUGGCAGCAAUGGUUUUAUUUAUGCAAAAACUUUUCCAUUUUAUAUAACCAAAAUUAUCCACUUUACUUCCUGUCUGUAUCCAUAUCUCUGUAUCCAUUCCUUUUAAAAUUUUUGUUUCUUUUUAACAUUUAAAAAAAUUGAGUUCUCUAUCAGUUCUAUAGGUACUUAUUAAGCAUCUAAUACUAUACCAGAUAUUGUGCUAUGCUUUAAGGAUACAGUGACAAAAAAAAUUAAUUAUUUCCUUCAUGGGGUAAUUAUUUCCUUCACCUUUUGGGGUCAAACAAUAUGAACAUAAGUUAAUACAAAAACAUAUAUGAAAUAAACCUUUAUGUGUUGGUGGGAAGGUAAGAUCACCUAAAGGAAUCAGGAUAAACCUUGUGGAGGAAGUGAUGCUUGAUAUGAAAUUUGAAAAAAAGUGGGGAAAAGAUGAAGAAGUGCACUCUAGUGUAAUAAUGGAACUGGAUUGAAGAUAUACAAGAAGGGAUACAGGGGAUAAGGAAGGGUUGGUAACUGAGAAUGGAGGAGGUGAAGGACAGAGGGAAUAUGGAGGCUGGUGAGGUAAAGGGAGAGCAGUACCCCUCUGCUGAGAGACUCUCUUUGUAAUUUCCUCCCACUCACCCCAUGAGAGAGGUACCUCUGGGUAAGGUUGGGUUAAGGAUGACAGGACCAGUGUUUUUAGUGGCUUCUGGGGGAUAGUGGAGUUUACUCCUCAAGGUUUGUCUGGUAAUUGCAACCCCUCUGAAGUUGCCCUUGUCUGGCAGUCAGACUGUCACUGUUGGCUUUCAUUGUUUAGCCUAGGCUAAUGGCUGAUUUAGCCACUAGCUUUUUUUUCUUUGUUCUCCCUCCAAUAUGAAUCUGACUGUGAUCUUCUAUUUUUCAACUAGUUUAAUAAUUAGAGUAAAUCAAGAAAGGGGAUAAGUAAGUAGGAAUAGGUGACCCUUGUUUUCCUCUUCUGCUGAGCCAAGAUGGCUCAGCUUCAGCUUAUCUAUCUUCUUUUUAACUAGUCACUAUCUCUAUCCUACUAAACAAAAGGCAAGUGUCCUUCUUGGGAAGGUCAAGGGAUGGAAAGGAUCUUCAGGGUGACCCCCUGAAGUUAAGGGAUCAGCCCCUUUCAGCAGCUGUAGUUGUUUGGUUUCUUCCUCUAAUAAGUGCUCUUUAACAUACAGGAAUCUUCUUCUCCGGGGUAAGGGAAAUGGAGGCAAGGUUUUCUGCAGGUUGGAAUAGAGAGCUCGUGGUCUUUGCUCCACACUCAGCCAAGUUUAGAGGGCAAAAACCCUUUCACCUAGCAGUUUCUCCCACAAUCCUCUUCUCUCACUCCAAUUGUCACUCCCCCUCCCAUACAUUCCAACUACUAUUUGCUCCACCUCAGUGGGCAAUAAUGCAAAAGCUUGAUUCACAGUUUUCCUUUCAACACUAGGCAUGGAGCACUCCUCCCUUCCUCCAACACAGUCAUACUUCCCUCCUACCUAAAAUAUAUCCCAUUGUUGAAGGGAUCAUUUAGUAAAUGCAAACACACACAUCAAGACAUUUAUUUUAUAAUGGUCAGGGCCUUAAAACAGAGAUAUAUGCAUUCUAACUUUAAUAUAACAAAUACUGAGCCACAGGAGUUUCUUGAACAGUGGAGUGACAUUUUACAAUGAUAAAAUUUUCAGAGUAACAAUUUACUGUAAAUGCCCAUGAAGAACCUUCUGUUUUAUAUCUUUGAACCUCUGUCAAUCCUGCUGGCUCAACCACUUCCAGUCAAUUAAUCUUUGUAAUAUUUACCAUCUUAUACAAUAACUCCUGCAUGGAAUUAAAAUAAAUAUCAAUGACUUUUAAAUUCUCUAUUUAAGUACUUUUGCAUAGAGUUCUGGAUCCUUCAUUACUCUGAGGACUGAAAAGCUUCCUCCAUAGUUGUUUUACUUAAAUUAGUUUAACCAUCCAUCCCAUAAAAGAAUUGUUAGAUCAUAGAACUCUCUUCAUAUCUCUGCUUAUUGAAAUACUUCUCUUUCUUUAAGGUUCUACUAAAGUGGCACUCACCACCUUAUACCCCCCCAACAUUGUAAUUGCUCCUUCCUCUUUCUUUUUUCCCUACAAGUCAAAUAGUUAACAAACACUUAUUAAGUAGCCACUAUAGCAUGUGUCAGGCACUGGGAACACAAAGGAAAAAAUAAAAUAAAACAGUUCCUUCUUUGAAGGAACAUAGGCUCUAUAGGAGGAGAUAAUUUGUACCAGAAGAAUACAUACAAGUAGAUACAAGGGGAUCUUUCUUAAAAUUAGGAGAAAAUGUACAUCAUUCCAUUUCCCAAAGGAUCAUCUCCGAUACGUUUAUGUCUCUAGAAGUUUAAGAGGAGAAUUUUUCACAGAAGAUAGCAGUUUCACAAAAACUCGGAGGAAUGAGUCCCCAGGAAGAGGGCCUGGCCAUCAGGGCAAAAGAUAUAGAGACACCAAGGAGUCCAAUGCCAGCAGGAAGCGAUUCCUACUAUUCUUAGCUUCACCUCUGACACAAAGCUUUGGGAGCUCUCCAGCAGCACCUGACACAGUGAUGUCCCAUCUUCUCUUUGAGCUUUGGUUCAGUCCUCUUAUUUGUCCAACCUUUCAUUUUCAGUCCCUUUUGAAGGAUCAUAUGCAUGCUAAUUGGAGGUUUAACUUGGAACUAUGUCCUAGGUUCUUCUUUCCCUCUUCCUUUCUCUCUCUGCCUCUCCCUGCCUCCCUCUGUCUCUCCCUCUCCUUUCCUCCCUCCCCCUCUCCCUUUCUCUCUGAUAUCAUAAGCAAUCAAGAGUUCAAAUACCCUAUGUAUAUAAAUGACUCCCUAAACUGCAUUACUCGCCUUCAUGUUUUUCCUAAACUACUCUCCUAUCACUAAUUGCCUGAUGGACAUUUCUAGUUAAAUUUCCUGUGGGUAUGUCAAAGUCAACAUAUUUCAAAUGAAAUUUAUUACCUUCUUCAGUCUUCUUAACUUCACUAUUUCCCCCCACAAGGUUCCACUACUUUUCCAGUUACCCAUGUUUGUAUCCUAGAAGUCAGCCUCAUUUCCUUAUAGCAUUUCGUAUAGAUUUAUCUUUUGCUCCCAUCACAUUCUAUUCUGCAUCAUGUUUACAUAGAUGGCACAUCUUCCCCAUCUCCCCUCCUUAGAUUAUAAAUUCUUUGAGAACUGUAUCUUUUUUCAUCUUUAUUUAAAAGAGCAUCUGGAAAGACUUGGGCUAGUGGUCCUGUAAGAGUAUAUAAUUUGCUAAAGAUUCUGGGAGUUGUAUUUCUUCCCAGCUAGGGAAAGGAGGAAGUUUCUGCCAGAAUGGACAAGAAGGGAGAGAUUUUCACUACCACAGCAAUUAAAAAAAAAAACAAAAAACAACAAACCUCUGGAGAAGAAAAAAGAGAGUUGGAGAAAGAUCCAGACAAAUGCAGCAGGAGCAGCAACAGAGGCAGCAGCAGAGAAAGGAUGCUUUACAAGAGACUGAUUCCAAGCCUUAGAGCAGCUUACAGGAGCCUUUUUCUUUUCCUGGCUCACAGUAUGGUUUAUUAAGAGAAUCCAACAAGGAGAGAUUGAAUUAUGCCUAUUUGAAGAAAUGAUAAGAAUAAUGGUGAAUCAACUACAAUCUCAGUUUUCCUCUCUCUUUAAUUGCUGCAUAAGACAGGUAGCAUGGUCCAUUACUGUGUUCCAUUGCUAUUUUAAAUUUUGCUUACUAGUUACUUGCAUAUUUUAAAUAAUGGUUUACUAGAAAAAGAUAAGAUCAUAGUACUUGCAUCCAGAAUUUGUGUUUUUGUUUUAGGGUGACAAGAUUGGGGGAAGGGAAGAAAGAAUAAGUGGCUAUUUGAUUACAAUGAAUUCAGCAGGCUAGGAGUCUACCUUCCCAGAUCAGCAAUCAACAGAUUGCCUGGGGGCUCAGAGCAUUUUAAUUCUAUCAAACAUACAAUGAAUAAUUCGUUCUAAUAUUAUAUAAAUUAUUUACAAAAACAGGAACAGAAGGGACCCUAACAACUUCCUUCUGUGACACAAAUGUGGCUUCAAUAUCUAAACCAUGGAGUCACUUUGGAAACAGAAACCUAUAGACAAGUACAGGUAUUCCUUCCACAUUGCAGGGGUUAGGAGUGCAGUGCCCCCUCGAACUGAAAAAUCCAUGUAAAAAUGUUUUGGCCCUCCGUUAGUACCAGAGAAGAAGUUUGAAUUUUUCUUUUUUCCUUUAUGGUAUCUUAUAUGCAUUUAUGAGUUUUUAAACUUUUUAGAUAUUUCUACAUUUCUAGCUUUUGCUGGUUUUUACAUUUUUAUGCAAACUUUAACUUCUUACUUAUUUUCACUUUUAAAAAGAAAUGGUGUAUAUUUAUGGUAUUAAAAAAGAAAAUAGGGGGCAGCUGGGUAGCUCAGUGGAUUGAGAGCCAUGCCUAGAGACAGGAGGUCCUAGGUUCAAAUCUUGCCUCAGACACUUCCCAGCUGUGUGACCCUGGGCAAGUCAGUUGACCCCCAUUGCCUAGCCCUUACCACACUUCUGCCUUGGAGCCAAUACACAGUAUUGACUCCAAGACGGAAGGUAAGGGUUUAAAAAAAAAGAAAGAAAAGAAAAUAUGUUGAUAUUAUACAAUGCUGUAUGUAUAUUUCAUGCAUUUCUGAGUUUCUAAACUUUUCUGUGCCAUCUGCUAGCCUUCACAUUUUAUCUGCAGCUUCUGCAAAACUCUCCAAAAUUUCCCAUCUAAUUUCUUAUGCCAACUUCUGAUAUAUGGAAAUCAUGAUGGGGAAAGUCAUGUUGUGGAAGGGAUACCUGUAUACCUAAUCUAAGUUUCAGGGGACUCAUUAAUUCAGGGUUAGGGGAAGCAUCUUUGUUUUCACUAACUUCUGAUUGAAAUUUGGUAUUUCUUUAAAUUAUUAAUAUGGCAACAAUAUGUAGGUGGCAGUCCAGAAUCUUCUCCAGACUACCAAAGGAGUUCAUGAUAUGAAACUUUUACUAUAAACCAACAUCAUUAGUUAAUAUUAAUGCAAAAAGGAAGAGUAGAUAUCUCACAAGGAAGUCACACUCUGAUCUUGCCUAUGUGAAUUGAGAAAGGUGUGACAAUUCAGCUCACUUUCUCCAAAAGGUGGAGGGCUAAAAAUGCUCCUCAUCUUAAACCAUCCUCUACAAUAUGAUCUUCACUGGGCAUUAUUUGCAUCCCUAGUGCUUACGGGGUAUCAGAAAACUUAUACUCUGAUAAAUUUGUGAUCUCAUCAAUGUGGGUACCUCAUUAGUUGUGCUGAACACAAGCCAUCCAUUCCUUUUUGUGUUGUGCAACUCCUGUCUAUGUCCUAUAAAUGUUCCCUAAGGAGUCAACCCAACAUUCUAAGGGCUUUCCUUUACAGCUAUCAGCAUAACAUGGAUAGGAAAGGUAAACAAAGUCUAUCCACUGGUUAGUCCUCACUCUUACUGAUCAGUUGGCAUGAUCAGCCAAUCCUCCAACCUCCUAGGGUAGUUUCCUAGCCAGUUGAAUUUAUUGUAAUCAAAUAUCCACAUAUUCCUUCUCCCCCUUCCCUCAAUCCUAUCAUUCUAAAUCAGGCAUCUCACUGAUAGCAUCUUUUGUGCUGCUCUUCCUACACACCUCUGAUCGAUCACUUGCAGUAUAUUCAUUACCACCAUGUUCCUUUCCAUUGCCCUUUUGGGGCAUUGCCAACUUUAAUUCUUCCUAGAUUGUAGUGUUCCACAAAUUACAGCUAUAGAACAUUCCCAGGAGAAUGUUGAUUUUUUUUUUUAAGGCAGAUCUGUGCUUCAGGGAAUUUGGAAUCAUUAAAGUCUUGAGACAUUUCUCCCUCUGUGAAUGGCCUCCAAAAAUUGCUGAUCUGCUUCGCAGAGAUAUUUCCUACAUGGUAUUUUCUUAAUAUCAUUGUAAUUGCAGACCUAGACCACCACCACCACAAAUUCAACCUUUUUUUCAAUUAUGUGUCCAAUUCCCUAUUCAUUUAAAAUGCUGGAGUGAGAGAGGAGAGAGAGAGAGAGAAAGAGAGAGAGAGAGAGAGAGAGAGAGAGAGAGAGAGAGAGAGAGAGAGAGAGAAAUGUCAGUUAGAGAUAUACAAAUUGUGAAAAAUAUAUGCACAUAGAUAUAUACAUUAAAGGUAUCUCCAAAGUCCAAAGUCAUA